CAUCCCAUCCCCACGCAAAGAUCUGGGUUCCAGCUCCAACACUGCCACCAGAUGGCCAACUGUUCUUAGGCCAGUGGUCUAACCUCUCUGGGCUUCAGCUUCAUCAUCCCUUGUUAGAUGUGGUCUGCCUACCUCACGGGACUGGACUGCUGAGUGGAACAAAUGAGGGUUAUGAGACACAGCUCUUUCACUGGGGUGGACAUACCAUGAGAAGGUGGUGGAGGCAACUUGUGUUAAUAAGGUCCGGCUCCAGGUUCAGACUCUAACCUGUGACUUGAGUUCUACUGAAACAGGACUUCUUACCUGUUCCCUAGUCACCUCCAUGGCUGAUGAUGGACUGCAACGUCCUGACCAGUCUCUGAU